UGCUCAGGAUGAACGCUGCCGGCGUGCCUAAUACAUGCAAGUCGAACGAGUUCUCGUUGAUGAUCGGUGCUUGCACCGAGAUUCAACAUGGAACGAGUGGCGGACGGGUGAGUAACACGUGGGUAACCUGCCCUUAAGUGGGGGAUAACAUUUGGAAACAGAUGCUAAUACCGCAUAGAUCCAAGAACCGCAUGGUUCUUGGCUGAAAGAUGGCGUAAGCUAUCGCUUUUGGAUGGACCCGCGGCGUAUUAGCUAGUUGGUGAGGUAAUGGCUCACCAAGGCGAUGAUACGUAGCCGAACUGAGAGGUUGAUCGGCCACAUUGGGACUGAGACACGGCCCAAACUCCUAC
rnacentral:rRNA from 1 species